rnacentral:rRNA from 1 species
UACAGAGGGUGCAAGCGUUGUUCGGAAUUAUUGGGCGUAAAGAGCGUGUAGGCGGCCAGGUAGGUCUGCUGUGAAAACUCGAGGCUCAACCUCGAGACGUCGGCGGAAACCAUCUGGCUAGAGUCCGGAAGAGGAGAGUGGAAUUCCUGGUGUAGCGGUGAAAUGCGCAGAUAUCAGGAAGAACACCCGUGGCGAAGGCGGCUCUCUGGGACGGUACUGACGCUGAGGAGCGAAAGCGUGGGGAGCGAACAGG